rnacentral:rRNA from 1 species
CUUGACAUCUAGCGCCAAUCUCAGAGAUGAGACGUUCCCCUUCGGGGACGCUAAGACAGGUGGUGCAUGGUUGUCGUCAGCUCGUGUCGUGAGAUGUUGGGUUAAGUCCGCAACGAGCGCAACCCUUAUUAUCAGUUGCCAGCAUUCAGUUGGGCACUCUGGUGAGACUGCCGGUGACAAACCGGAGGAAGGUGGGGACGACGUCAAAUCAUCAUGCCCCUUAUGACCUGGGCUACACACGUGCUACAAUGGACGGUACAACGAGUUGCGAACUCGCGAGGGUAAGCUAAUCUCUUAAAGCCGUUCUCAGUUCGGACUGUAGGCUGCAACUCGCCUACACGAAGUCGGAAUCGCUAGUAAUCGCGGAUCAGCAUGCCCGCGGUUCCGAAUACGUUCCGGGCCUUGUACACACCGCCCGUCACACCAUGAGAGUUUGUAACACCCAAAGUCGGUGGGGUAACCCUUCGGGGAGCCAGCCGCCUAAGGUGGGACAGAUGAUUAGGGUGAAGUCGUAACAAGGUAAGCGUAGACGU